AUUGAACGCUGGCGGCAUGCUUUACACAUGCAAGUCGAACGGUAACAGGGUGCUUGCACCGCUGACGAGUGGCGAACGGGUGAGUAAUGCGUCGGAACGUGCCGAGUAGUGGGGGAUAACGCAGCGAAAGGAGUGCUAAUACCGCAUACGUACUGAGGGAGAAAGUGGGGGACCUUCGGGCCUCAAGCUAUUCGAGCGGCCGACGUCUGAUUAGCUAGUAGGUGAGGUAAAGGCUCACCUAGGCGACGAUCAGUAGCGGGUCUGAGAGGAUGAUCCGCCACACUGGGACUGAGACACGGCCCAGACUCCUACGGGAGGCAGCAGUGGGGAAUUUUGGACAAUGGGCGAAAGCCUGAUCCAGCCAUGCCGCGUGUCUGAAGAAGGCCUUCGGGUUGUAAAGGACUUUUGUCGGGGAGGAAAUCCCCAGCGUUAAUACCGCUGGGGGAUGACAGUACCUGGAGAAUAAGCACCGGCUAACUACGUGCCAGCCGCCGCAGUAACAC
rnacentral:rRNA from 1 species